GAUGAACGCUGGCGGCGUGCCUAAUACAUGCAAGUCGAGCGAACAGACGAGGAGCUUGCUCCUCUGACGUUAGCGGCGGACGGGUGAGUAACACGUGGAUAACCUACCUAUAAGACUGGGAUAACUUCGGGAAACCGGAGCUAAUACCGGAUAACAUGUUGAACCGCAUGGUUCAACAGUGAAAGACGGUCUUGCUGUCACUUAUAGAUGGAUCCGCGCCGCAUUAGCUAGUUGGUAAGGUAACGGCUUACCAAGGCAACGAUGCGUAGCCGACCUGAGAGGGUGAUCGGCCACACUGGAACUGAGACACGGUCCAGACUCCUACGGGAGGCAGCAGUAGGGAAUCUUCCGCAGUGGGCGAAAGCCUGACGGAGCAACGCCGCGUGAGUGAAGAAGGUCUUCGGAUCGUAAAACUCUGUUAUUAGGGAAGAACAAAUGUGUAAGUAACUAUGCACGUCCUGACGGUACCUAAUCAGAAAGCCACGGCUAACUACGUG
rnacentral:rRNA from 1 species